AAGACAGAGGUGGCGAGCGUUGUUCGGAAUUACUGGGCGUAAAGCGUACGCAGGCGGCCAGGUAAGACAGGUGUGAAAUCCCCGGGCUUAACCUGGGAACUGCAUUUGUGACUGCCUGGCUAGAGUUUGUCAGAGGGGGGUGGAAUUCCACGUGUAGCAGUGAAAUGCGUAGAGAUGUGGAGGAACACCGAUGGCGAAGGCAGCCCCCUGGGACAUGACUGACGCUCAGGUACGAAAGCGUGGGGAGCAAACAGGAUUAGAUACCCUGGUAGUCCACGCCCUAAACGAUGUCGACUAGUUGUCGGGAAUUUGCAUUCUCGGUAACGCAGCUAACGCGUGAAGUCGACCGCCUGGGGAGUACGGUCGCAAGAUU
rnacentral:rRNA from 1 species